CUAACACAUGCAAGUCGAGCGAAGACUUCGGUCUUAGCGGCGGACGGGUGAGUAACGCGUGGGAACGUGCCCUUCACUACGGAACAGUCCCGGGAAACUGGGUUUAAUACCGUAUACGCCCUUCGGGGGAAAGAAUUUCGGUGAAGGAUCGGCCCGCGUCUGAUUAGGUAGUUGGUGGGGUAACGGCCUACCAAGCCUACGAUCAGUAGCUGGUUUGAGAGGAUGAUCAGCCACACUGGGACUGAGACACGGCCCAGACUCCUACGGGAGGCAGCAGUGGGGAAUCUUAGACAAUGGGGGCAACCCUGAUCUAGCCAUGCCGCGUGAGUGACGAAGGCCCUAGGGUCGUAAAGCUCUCUCACCAGGGAAGAUAAUGACGGUACCUGGAGAAGAAACCCCGGCUAACUCCGUGCCAGCAGCCGCGGUAAUACGGAGGGGGUUAGCGUUGUUCGGAAUUACUGGGCGUAAAGCGCGCGUAGGCGGACUGUUAAGUCAGGGGUGAAAUCCCGGGGCUCAACCCCGGAACUGCCCUUGAUACUGGCAGUCUCGAGUUCGAGAGAGGUGAGUGGAACUCCGAGUGUAGAGGUGAAAUUCGUAGAUAUUCGGAAGAACACCAGUGGCGAAGGCGGCUCACUGGCUCGAUACUGACGCUGAGGUGCGAAAGUGUGGGGAGCAAACCAGGAUUAGGUACCCUGGUAGUCCACACCGUAAACGAUGAAUGCCAGACGUCGGGGCAGCAUGCUUGUGUCGGUGUCACACCCGGCAGGAAUAAGCACUUCCGGCGUGGGGAGUACGCACGCAUAGGUUCAUACUCGAGAAGGAAUUGACGGGGGCCACGCACAAGCGAUGGAGCAUGUGGUUUAAUUCGAAGCAACGCGGCAGUACCUUACCAACCCUUGACAGCCUGAUCGCAGCUUACCAGAGAGGCUUUCAUUCAGGUCGGAUGGAUCAGAGACAGGUGCUGCAUGGCAGUAGUCAGCUCGUGUCGUGAGAUCGUUCGAUUAAGUCCGGCAACGAGCGCAACCCACACCCUUAGUUGCCAGCAGUUCGGCUGACUACUCUAGGGGAACUGCCCGUGAUAAGCGGGAGGAAGGUGUGGAUGACGUCAAGUCCUCAUGGCCCUUACGGGUUGGGCUACACACGUGCUACAAUGGCAGUGACAAUGGGUUAAUCUCAAAAAGCUGUCUCAGUUCGGAUUGUCGUCUGCAACUCGACGGCAUGAAGUCGGAA
rnacentral:rRNA from 1 species